rnacentral:rRNA from 1 species
GAUGAACGCUGGCGGCGUGCCUAAUACAUGCAAGUCGAGCGAACGGACGAGAAGCUUGCUCCUCUGACGUUAGCGGCGGACGGGUGAGUAACACGUGGAUAACCUACCUAUAAGACUGGGAUAACUUCGGGAAACCGGAGCUAAUACCGGAUAAUAUAUUGAACCGCAUGGUUCAAUAGUGAAAGACGGUCUUGCUGUCACUUAUAGAUGGAUCCGCGCUGCAUUAGCUAGUUGGUAAGGUAACGGCUUACCAAGGCAACGAUGCAUAGCCGACCUGAGAGGGUGAUCGGCCACACUGGAACUGAGACACGGUCCAGACUCCUACGGGAGGCAGCAGUAGGGAAUCUUCCGCAAUGGGCGAAAGCCUGACGGAGCAACGCCGCGUGAGUGAUGAAGGUCUUCGGAUCGUAAAACUCUGUUAUUAGGGAAGAACAUAUGUGUAAGUAACUGUGCACAUCUUGACGGUACCUAAUCAGAAAGCCACGGCUAACUACGUG